GGCUCAGAUUGAACGCUGCGGAAUGCUUUACACAUGCAAGUCGAACGGCAGCACGGGGGCAACCUGGUGGCGAGUGGCGAACGGGUGAGUAAUGCAUCGGAACGUGCCAUUGAGUGGGGGAUAACGUAGCGAAAGUUGCGCUAAUACCGCAUAUUCUGUGAGCAGGAAAGCAGGGGACCGCAAGGCCUUGCGCUCUUUGAGCGGCCGAUGUCAGAUUAGCUAGUUGGUGAGGUAACGGCUUACCAAGGCGACGAUCUGUAGCGGGUCUGAGAGGAUGAUCCGCCACACUGGAACUGAGACACGGUCCAGACUCCUACGGGAGGCAGCAGUGGGGAAUUUUGGACAAUGGGCGCAAGCCUGAUCCAGCCAUGCCGCGUGAGUGAAGAAGGCCUUCGGGUUGUAAAGCUCUUUCGGCCGGGAAGAAAUCGCAUGGGUUAAUACCCUGUGUGGAUGACGGUACCGGAAUAAGAAGCACCGGCUAACUACGUG
rnacentral:rRNA from 1 species